AGCUCAUUUAUAUCUGAAAAAAUGUUUUUAAAAGCAGAAAUAUGCUCAGACAGCAUAAACUCGUUUCAGGCCAGUAAACUCGGCUCACUUACAUCACUGGGCAAGGUUCACGCUGAACCCCGUUUGAUCACGAGCACUUAAAUAUUUAAACUGACCGCUAAAACCCGCAAGAAACUCACAGCGUCUGCGUAUCUGACCACAUGCAUUACGAACUACAAUACGCAUGAAAGGCAUCUGCAGCUAAGAAUAUCCUAAAAUGUGCACUCUCUGUGAUUUAAUGGCCCAACUUUUUUUCCCAACUUUUUUUCCAGGACGUCUAGAUCCCUGAAUGUAACAUCCAUGGAAACAGAAACAACACGGACUGCUGGAAUCUGGGAGUAACGGGCUACAGGACGCGUCCAGCUCUGCACAGUGACCGUCUGUGGCAGAGAGACAAAGCGAGAUGAGCAGAGAUCCAGAUGUUUAAGGGGAUCCAGGCAAAGUGACAGGAAGACGAGCAUGUUUUCACGCGGGUGACAGGUGAAAAGUCAGGAAGACAGGAGAGCAGAUGAGCUCCUGCAGUCGGCCUUCGCUCAGAGACUCGCCCGCAGUCGCCUGCAGCAGCUCAAGGAAAUGCUGCCCCCGUGUGACAGCUCUGGGUAUCACACCACGUAUCCUCAUACUAGCGACCGGACAGCGGGAAAACAUUCCAUCACUGGAUUAACUGGAUUAACCUCCUCAACUAAUUAUCAAAGACAGUGACCUGGAUCCCACCUCGCCUGGAUCCCCCUGGACCUCAGGUGCAGUGGUGUACCUGAAGGAGCCUCCCCCGGGGUCGUUGACUUUGUUCUUCGGGGUCCCUGAGAGCUGGACGGGGAGCGCUGUGGGGCUUUUACUCGUCUGGACGACUGGACAUUUUCCUACAGCAC